AAAAAGUCCUUUAAACA
rnacentral:tRNA from 2 species